CGAAGCUCAGUUGGAAGCAAGCGUAGAGCGUAGUGAAGAAUCGAGAGCAAGGAGAAAGGAAGCAAGUGUGGAAAUCAGAAGUACCCUUAGGAAACCUUCGUAUCGAAUCUGGAUAAACCCCACACCAGCAUGGCCAGAACAUCCAAAACUCCAGUGAUGCUCCAACUUAGAUUCAAAGCCAACUACGGUGGCUCUGAGGCAGACAUCCCAACUGAUAUUUGUGCUCCUGUGGGGUUAAUGGACAAACUGAAGCAGAGCAGCCAAAAUGCAACACUUCAGUCAAGCAACAUCUCCAAAUUACAUUCUUAAUAAAAUGUUUUUAUCGUUACCAGCAGAAUGAGGAACACUGAUAGUACUUCGUUCAGAUUGCAGUAAUAGAUGUAUGUUAAGAUAAAGAAUGUGUGGGUUGCGUCAGGAAGGGCAUUGGCACAAAACUGCCAAAAGAAUCAUGUGAGUGCCCCGUCAAUGGCUACACCUGACUGGAUCAGAUGAA